UACGGAGGGGGCUAGCGUUGUUCGGAAUUACUGGGCGUAAAGCGCGCGUAGGCGGACCUGCAAGUCGGGGGUGAAAGCCCGAGGCUCAACCUCGGAACUGCCUUCGAUACUGCGGGUCUCGAGUCCGGGAGAGGUGAGUGGAAUUCCUAGUGUAGAGGUGAAAUUCGUAGAUAUUCGCAAGAACACCAGUGGCGAAGGCGGCUCACUGGCCCGGUACUGACGCUGAGGUGCGAAAGCGUGGGGAGCAAACAGGG
rnacentral:rRNA from 1 species